rnacentral:pre_miRNA from 1 species
UUAACUUAAAUUUGUAUGCAGUCGGAACAGCGCCCCUAGCGGCAAACGUAGGCAAACGUGCCAACUCCAUACAAAUCUCAGUUA